UUUAUAAAAGUCUUUUUCAGCGAUGAUAUGCUGAAGAAGAUUUCUUCAUAUGACAGUGGAACAAAAGUAGAUUAGUAGAUUAGGAAGCCAACGAAGGGCAAGGACAAGCAGAUGAAUUCUGGUCAAACAAGUCUUUGGACAGCGCCUUUAUGCCGAUAGAACCAGAAAUAAACAUACCCUUACAAACAGACACCUCCUCUGAACUUCUUAUGUCCUGUGAUCGUCGUCAAGAAUCCAAUGCCACCACCAAAUUCAUCUAGGAUAGUCAAGACCCACCGAUUACCCAAUAAUUACAAGGCGAAACAGGAGCCGGUGGAACGCAGGUCGGUGGCAAAACCUGCUGCCAUCGAUAAUGGCACUAAAGUCGUUAAUUACCGCAACUUCCGACACCAUCCUUAUCAAAUGCCAUUUCUAGUCAAUGAGAAGAGUAACAAGCUAACGUUCACGAAACAAAGAGCCAAUGAUCUUAAACGAAAGGUAGCCAAGAAGCAGAUAAGGCCCUGAUGUCCAGGAAGGUGCUUCUGAAUGUGUCCCCCUUGGAAUGGGUGGCAGAUUAGCUCCACACUUCACCUAGAGGAUGUCAUUGACUAAAGCAUGUCAAAAUACCCUUUAAUAAUUAGCCGAAAGAAGGAACAGUUUCUUCAACACUUCAUCCCCCUCAGCCGUGGUCAUGGCAAGCACUUGGAUCAUUCCCGACUUAUAGAGUCUAGCUGACACUCCGGGCAUAUUCUUAUUCACAUAGUAGACGAAGUUAAUUUCACGAAAGAGUGGUUCUGAGGAAAGGUCGCAGACCUCACUAAAUUUCUGCAAAUUUACGGUCCAAGGAUAGCUGGCACCGGAAAAGAGUCGUAAGUGUAAGAGUGUAAGAGCCUUGAAAUUAACCUUUUCCAUAGUCUUCUCCACGAUAUCGCUUUGGGUUUCAGCCAACAUUGCGCUAUUCCUUCCGCUGAUAAUCAUCACAAUGCCAUUGGCUCAUAUCCAGCCUAUCUGCGUGGCCUCAUAUCGCAUUUCUAUCACAUCCGACUUAGAUGUUGGACAUAUAUGAAGGGUGUGAUUAAAGUGCGACUGGAAAAGGGAAAUGCCCGGACAGCUGGACUUUUUGAGUCGGGAGUGAUGCAAGUGUUUUCCAU